UGUUUGCGUCAAAUUCGACCUUGCCACUGUAAACAAUAACAAAGGGGAAUCGAAAAACAAACCUCUUCGAUUUCCCGGACCAGAGAGGCCAUCGAUUCGGCUCCUGAUAGAAUUCCAUGGAGUAUGACCACCGGUUUGUAGGCCAGUGAGACGGAAAUGGACGAGCAGGUUAACAGGGCCACCAGGACUUGCAAACGAAGUCUCAUUUUGUGGGGAACAAUGGAUUUCCGACUGUUGUUGUUGAUGUAUCCGUAUCUUUAUUAGCCGCUCUUCUUCUUGCUACCCGCUUUGGAAAUUCUGAAAGUGCGGAUUUGAAAUCCGACAUGCGAAUGGCAAUGUAUGGGUUGCGAGCGCAAUUAUGAGCAGAACGAAAUUUGAAAAUGCAUUCGAAAUUUCUCGAGACUUCAUUGUACAAUAAUUGGAUGAAUUUAAAAUACGUGGUGUGCAUUUAAAAGGAAAGGUUUAUAAAAUAGGUCCCAUAAAUUGGAUGGGUACAUUCAAAUAAAGAUAAAAUGCAAUAU
ensembl:ncRNA asRNA:CR44182 antisense RNA:CR44182